UUUGGCUAUAAAAGUGCCUAAGUUAUUGGGCGCUUUUUGGGCUUAAAAAUGACUCCAAGACAUCAGUUGAAGCAUUUUGGCGUACCAAGAUAAUAAAAUAAUAUUACUUGCCAUGUUCAACGGCACUUGUUCUUGCUAAAAUAGUUGUGAAACUAGUAUAUUUUGACCUCAGAACAGGUAGGGAUACCCGCUGAACUUAA
rnacentral:misc_RNA from 1 species